AUUCUUUCUUAAAAUAUUCAAGUAGCUACAACAAAACAGAUUACAUUAAUUCACCAGUAAGAGGCAGCAGUGCGCUAAUGUGCAACAGGAACAAAACAACAGAAGAAGAAAUAAGGACGGUGAGCAUGCGCAGCAAGCAAAGUUUUGAAGCUGCGUCGAAUUUGCUUAAACUAAAAAGUAGAAAGACUGUUUACAUUUCACCUCUGGACAAAGAAUGAUCGAUUACUUCUACACAAUAAUAAUAAGCACCAGUGUUAGCAACAGGGAGCAACGAUCUUUGCUAUUCUGCUAUUAGAACAAAAACUAUAGAAAUACACAACUUGUGGCACAUUUGGGUAAAGGAAAAAAGCUUGUGUCAUCUGUCUUCUCUGAGCAGCGGUCUUGUGAUCACCGGUCUCAGUAUAAUAAAGAAAAGAUUUGACAGAACUACAUACCCAUCUGAGGCCUACCUGUUUUAAUUCAUGAUCACCCCGGAUACUUCUACAACUAACCUGCUUGGUGUCUGAUGCUGAUGCAGUCUGGGCACUAGUAUCUGUUGGCUUGCUGACUAUCACUGACGAUGAAGUACUUCUCCAAAUCUUGACCCAGUGUCUUCUGCCAUCAUUGUUCAGGGUAGUACUGCAAAGAAUAGUCUCCAGGGUCUGCCUCCAACAUUUGCUUCCCGACCACCAUGUGCUACGCUUGCAUCACUACAUGUGGGUUACCCUGAUACUGUGAAGAAAACCUACAAUAUGAUGCUUGACUUGGGACAGAAAAAAAAAACAUUGGCAACUUGUGUGGCCAACUCAUUGCCGUAUUUAAAAUCAUUGUACUGCUACCUCCAUUGUUUAACAUAACUAAAAGCAGAUUGUUUUUGCUUUGUUUCAAAAUUUUUGUAAUACGAGUUAAAACUACAUUGAAAAAAAUAUAUCAUCUUUAACUUUGAACUGUCACUACAUUUGAUUUAGGGUAAUUAUGUGUGUGAAGAAUAGAACAUUGUUGUCAUGAAUUUGUAAUAGAUUUUUGAAGUAUUUAAGUUACUAGAGUAAUGGUAACUUUUUUUUUUAAAGGCAAUUGGUCAAAACUAGAUUUCUGUUCAAGUAAAUACAACUUAGAAAUUCCAAGUUGCAGGAAAUGUUACUUGAUUUAGCUAAAUUUAAAUGAGUUGUUUGAAAUACGUACAUAGUAUAAUGUACUUAAUUUAGUUGUUGGAAAUAGUAAUUCUGAGUUACACGUUUACAACACUUAUAAAUAAACCUUUGUUAGUACAAAUUACUAUUCUUAUUUCACUUUACUUGUUUUUUUUUUUAAGGUUUACUCAUUAUAAUUUACAGUGCAGACAAGCACAUGCCCAGUGCACACUAGUGAGAUAAAUUCAAAACACUGUAAUUGUAAUAAAGUACUGUAACUAUACUGUACUACACUGUGUGAUUCUUUCAGCUCUCUCUCCAGUGCUAGGAUGCAUUUUUAAAGCAGUCACCUGUGCUACUGAAUGCUUGCUUAUGGAUAAUUGUGUGUUAUUUGAGUUCAUACUGUGACAAUAGAGUUAACUAUUUGAUGUGUUUGUGUUUUAUGACUGAUACUUUGGAGAAAUCAUUAAAAUUGUAAUGUGUGUAUAUAUGAAUAUUAUAGAAUAUUAUAAUUUCUAAACUACUAAAUUAUUAAAACAUUACAUGAUUGAAGUGUUUA